rfam:Achromobacter sp. DMS1 scaffold1, whole genome shotgun sequence.
GAGAUUAUUCCCACCAUUACGGACAGGGUGGGUUAGCGCGCAACCGGAACAUCUUGCACACCGACCCGCCGACGUGGCGGGUUUU